ACACUCCUACGGGAGGCAGCAGUGGGGAAUAUUGGACAAUGGGCGCAAGCCUGAUCCAGCCAUGCCGCGUGAGUGAUGAAGGCCCUAGGGUUGUAAAGCUCUUUCACCGGUGAAGAUAAUGACGGUAACCGGAGAAGAAGCCCCGGCUAACUUCGUGCCAGCAGCCGCGGUAAUACGAAGGGGGCUAGCGUUGUUCGGAUUUACUGGGCGUAAAGCGCACGUAGGCGGACUAUUAAGUCAGGGAUGAAAUCCCGGGGCUCAACCCCGGAACUGCCUUUGAUACUGGUAGUCUUGAGUUCGAGAGAGGUGAGUGGAAUUCCGAGUGUAGAGGUGAAAUUCGUAGAUAUUCGGAGGAACACCAGUGGCGAAGGCGGCUCACUGGCUCGAUACUGACGCUGAGGUGCGAAAGCGUGGGGAGCAAACAGGAUUAGAAACCCUAGUAGUCCCAUGAU
rnacentral:rRNA from 1 species